CACCCCAAAAGCUCAGCACUAGAGCUGCUCCCUCUAGAAACCCCUUUCCUGCUACUGCUGGCAGGGUGACAAUGGCCUGUGAGUGACUGAGGAUGGCCUGCUGUCUCCACGGCCCCUCUUGGUCUCACCACUGUCCUCCACAGCCACUGUUUUCUUCACCUGCACUGGCAACACCAAGGACAGCACAGGAGAGCUGAGAGAGCCUCUGGCUGAGAGGUUCUCACUCUCUCUGCAUUAACUUCACCAUCGCAGUCAGGAACCGUGCUGGAUCACAGUGGUGUGAUGCUGUGGUCCAAGCAGGCAGGCAGCUUUUGUUCAAUUAUACGUGUGAAAACCAUAAGCGCCCUGACUCAUGGCUCAUACCUCUCUGUCCUCUGGGGGAGGAGGUGGAUGCCAGAGAGAGGGGCAUGCUAAGUGGAACUCUGAAAGACCUGAUGGAAGAGCUCAAAAUGGAAAUGCCUAAUCUUCAACUAAAAAUUCCCACAAACCGCGGUCCCCUCUCCCUGCAGGGCAGCAUUCAGUACCAGGCGGGAGUCAAUGGCAGCACAGUGGAACUAAAGCUCAGCUUCCAGGGAGAGGAAGUCAUCAACUUUGAGUGGACACAUCUGGGGCUGAAAGUUCAUUCUGCAAACAAAUCUGUGGAAGAGGAGUGGAAGGACAAAGUAGUGACUAAGUUACUCCAGAAAAUUCCUGGAGAAUUUGAAAUGUUGAUUGAUAAUAUUUCAGAAGUUCGGAAUAAAAUGCCUCAGACCACAGCAGCACUGACUAUGGCCCCGGGCAGAGUCCCAGUCCCAGUCCCAUCCAGCGCCACAGCCACCUUGACCGGCUCAUCCGCCUCACCUUUUAUCUGGAUCCUCACCUGUGCCAUCGUGUUUGGCACCAUGUUCAUGCCUGUCCUCUGCUAGUUUUGUGAGCCUCCAGUGAAAGAAUUUGUAGAGACGGUGGUGCUUUUCAACCUCUGUGCAUCCAGCGGGCUCUGUGUCCACCCCCACCACUUUAUCCACUAACCUGAUGGAAUUUCAGUCCCCCCAGAAAAUGCCUUCACAGUUUUCCCUCUGCAGGUGGGGACUGGGGGCUUGAACCAGGUCGUUGUGCAUUGUAACAUGUGUACUCAACCAGGCACACUACCACCUGGCCUUACAUCUUUAUUUUUAAAGGGAUUGGUGUUAAAAGCAUGUUUACAAAUUACUGAAAAAUUGGUAAGCAUUAUUCUUCCACAGUGUGGAGCAAAUAAAACCAGUGUGUCUGCUAGAUUUCUGUAGACACAGAACUUGGGACCUAUAUAUAUAUUUUAAUUUAUUUAUUUUCCUUUUUUGUUCCCUUUUGUGCCUUUGUUGUUUUUGUAGUUAUUAUUGUUGUUGUUAUUGAUGUCAUCGUUGUUGGAUAGGACAGAGAGAAAUGGAGAGAGGAGGGGAAGAUAGACAGGGGCAGAGAGACAGACACCUGCAGACCUGCUUCACCGCUAGUGAAGAAGCGAUUCCCCUGCAGGUGAGGAGCUGGGGGCUCAAACCAGGAUUCUUAAGCUGGUCCUUGCGCUUCGUGCCACCUGCGCUUAACCUGCUGCGCUACCACCCAACUCCCAUUGGGGACCUAUUUAAAGUGCACCAUCUGGAAGUUUAUCUCAGUUAAGCCUUAUCCUGAUGACUGGAUUCAAACUGCCCUUGGGUCUGAAUCCCUGAGUAAGUUCUCAUCUCCCCAGCACACUCCACCUGCCAGUGACCUUCCUGUGACUUCUGCCCUGACUCUGCCUUCAGAAGUGUGUCCUCACAGCUAUAGAUUCACUCGGACAGUAUGCUGCUUUGCCCUUCCCCAGGUUGAUGAUGAUGAUGAUGAUGAUGAUGAUUGUUCUUGUUGUUUUACAAAGUGUUUCACAAGUUAACAGGGGAACAAGUCCCAGGUUUAAGCCUGGCUUCUACCGCAUUGAAGGAAGAUUCGGUGCUAUAGUUUUCUUCACUCUUUCUCUGCCUUUAUCUGAAAAAAAAAAGUUAAGAAUUUCUACCACAGCCGAUUCCUGACAAGGAACCUUUCUUUCCCUCUCACAGAGGAAAGGCCUGCAUGCAUGUGCCUAUGUACACUAGUGGGCGUCAGUGUUGUGUGUACUUACUAUGCAAAGAUCAGACAUCCAGGCAGUUCACAGCUCUCCAAAUAGACUUGCCCCGGACUUCCAGCAUAAUUCUUGGGUUCCCUGGUCUCCAGCAGUGAUCUGCCUCAGGCUAGAAGCUAGCUAGUUAACACAAAUUAUAAAGUACAGACAACACUCGCUUACACGUGCUCUCUGCCAGCUAAUCAUUGUGAUGAAAGAUGAAUAGUUGUGGAUGCUACUAGUUAAUGGAAUGCAAUUAGAAUCUAUGUAGCAUAUUUAAAUUGAUAAGAAAUUGGUUUGAACAAACAGAAAGUUUGAGAGGCAAUUAUAAUGGCCACCCAAAUUGGAUUUUAAUAUAUUUAAUUUUUUUAAAAUUAUCUUUAUUUAUUGGAUAGAGACAGCCAGAAAUCAGGAGGGAAGGGGGUGAUAGAAAGGGAGAGAGACAGAGAGACACCUGCAGCCUUGUCUCACCACUCAUGAAGCUUUCCCCCUGCAGGUGGGGACUGGAGGCUUGAACCUGGGUCCUUGUGCAUUAUAAUAAUACGUGCACUCAACCAGGUACGCCACCACCCGGCCCCUGGAUUUUUAAUAUUUUGUUACACUUGUCUUAGUGUUUGUUCUAAAGAAAUGAGACCACGCAGAAGUUGAAAAACAAGAUCAGAAGAGAAAACACAAGUAGAACCUGAACUGGAAUUGGUGUAUUGCACUAAAAUAAAGGACUCUGGGGUGGGUGGGGGGGGAGGGGAGAAUAUAGGUCCAAGAAGGAUGACAGAGGACCUAGUGGGGGUUGUACUGUUAUGUGGAAAACUAAGAAAUAUUACACAUGUACAAACUAUUGUAUUUACUGUCGAAUGUGAAACAUAAUUCCCCAAUAAAGAAAUUAAAAAAAAAAGAAAUGAGACACUCUAGGAACAGUUCUGCGCCCAUCCCUUGUCUGUCU